AUCUCCAUCUCUAGUCAAGAGAGGAGACGCUAGCGCGGAGCCCGUGCCAGCAGCGGAUCAGUGAGUGAAUUGUCCAGAACCAUAGGGCCAGACCCUCGUUAUCUCCAUCUCUAGUCAAGAGAGGAACAAUGGAAUGGCUUAAUAGGAAUAGCUUUGGGGUGGAAUAUAUGGUUGUUGGGUUGCAUCUCUUGUGAUGAUAAUGAAGAUGAUGAUUUUGAUUUCAUAGUGCAAACGGGCUAAUUAUUCCUAAGCCUUGUAUGUUAAUACACACACAGUAUUGCAAAUAUCUUUUAUCAGUUUGACGUAAUAUUUCAGUUCAGUUUCUUAAGGUUUUUUUCUUUAUCCUCCCCUCUGCAGGUUUUGUGGUGACAGGAAGGCCUGCCGUGCUCUGGUUCAUGGGGUCACGAAGAGUCGGACACGACUAAACGACUAAACGACGACGAUAUGGUUGUCAGGUUUCAUCUCUUGUGAUGAUAAUGAAGAUGAUGAUUUUGAUUUCAUAGUGCAAACGGGCUAAUUAUUCCUAAGCCUUGUAUGUUAAUACACGCACAGUAUUGCAAAUAUCUUUUAUCAGUUUGACGUAAUAUUUCAGUUCAGUUUCUUAAGGUUUUUUUCUUUAUCCUCCCCUCUGCAGGUUUUGUGGGAACUGCUUAGGCUCUGAUGGGGUGAGGAGUUUAUGGGAUGCACUCCAGCAUAACGCCACUCUGGAAGAGCUCUACCUAGAUAUUACUGGCAUCACAGACAGUGGCCUGGAUAAUAUCCUAGAUUCGCUGACCAGCAACACCACGCUCCGGCUUUUGACCAUUGUGGGGAACCGGCUAAGCAAAGCGGGGAGAGAAGUCCUCUCUGAGCUCCGUCGCCGGAAACCGGAGCUCAAAAUCAUCAGCAGUUUCUUGUCCGACAUGGGGUUGCUCCAGGCUUAUCUGGACUGGGUGGAAGAGAUCAAAGCGGACCCGGAACAGAUGGAGUCAGUCAAAAACGCUGAUGCCCUUCGCUCGGUCCUGGAAGUUUUGGUGGACACUGACGAUCCGGGAGCCCGUCAAGACGCGCGUGAAAAAGCUGCGAAACUGAAGGCGCAGAUCACUGCCCUUCUCCUGAGGGAGAACAAAACAGAAGAAAAUGGGACUCUGGCUCCAUCUGACCUGUAAAUGGAGUCAAUUCCCGGGGAAAACAAAAGAAAACCGUCUUAGAAAUUCAGUUUGCCUUCAGAUGACCUUAUUUACACCUUUUUUUUUUUUUGAUAAGGUGACCCAUUCAAGCACAGAUCCUAGGUCACAGUAAUAUGCAGAUAGUGCCUUGUAAAGCCUGGUUGUUUUGCCCAUCUCAGCAAGAGUGGCAUUUUCUACAAGAACUUGAAAACGGCUCCUUCGUUUGGACUAUGGCUAACCAUGGUGGCUGAGGGAUUCUAGGGCUUGUAGUAGACCCAGCCAGAAGGAAAUGUUCACAAGUUCUGGUUCUGAUCCGCAGAAGGUCUCCAAAAUCUUAGGUGGAGGUCUUCCAUGUUUUUGGACCUUUUAAAUGGAUUUGCCACGGGAUAAAACCUGGAAUCUUAUGCAUGCACAGGAAUCAUGCAUAAAUUGAGUACAGUACUUCUGAACUGGGCAUGAAAGCUGGACAGAAAAGAAAGGUGACCUGUGGGAGAAAAAAUGGAUUUGUUUGAAAUGUGGUGCAGGAGGAGAGCUUUCAAGAUACCCUGGACUGCCAGAAAGACAAACAAGUGGGUCCUAGAUCAAAUCAAGCGUGAAUUUUAUGUGUGUGCAUGUGUCUGGUCUCUGGGUGUCUGUGAAUUUCGUUGUAUGGGUAUACUGUGUAUCUACUUUGAAGGCUGUCAUAAAGGCCUGAAGGAAGGGUCAGGAGUUGACCUCUCUUUCAAAUUUCCCCAAUCCAUAUAGGUUGCCAUGCAACUCCCAUUAUCCCUCUUUGUGUCUACUAGGCAGGCUUGGCACCUGAUGGGAACUGUAGUCCAACAUUCCUAAGGGAGGCAGUUUUACUGUCAUAAAAGGAUGGGAAUGGGCAGGAACACAAGUGUGUGUGUGUGAAUAAUUAUAUAUUUAUUUGCAGCAGAAACUUGGGAGGUGACCCUUUUUUAAAAAUUCUUGCUUCUCUAUGCUGAGCUGAAGGCUACGCGAGAUCGACCGGUUGAACUUC
ensembl:lncRNA